GGUCAUUGCUCAGUGGGCAGAGCAUCUGCAUUGCAUGCAGAAAGUCCCAGGUUCAAUCACCCAGGCAGGGCUG